rnacentral:rRNA from 1 species
UACGUAGGGUCCAAGCGUUAAUCGGAAUUACUGGGCGUAAAGCGUGCGCAGGCGGUUCGUUAAGUCAGCUGUGAAAGCCCCGGGCUCAACCUGGGAAUGGCAUUGGAAACUGGCGGGCUUGAGUGUGGCAGAGGGGGGUGGAAUUCCGCGUGUAGCAGUGAAAUGCGUAGAGAUGCGGAGGAACACCGAUGGCGAAGGCAGCCCCCUGGGCUGACACUGACGCUCAGGCACGAAAGCGUGGGGAGCAAACAGG